AGAGUUUGAUCCUGGCUCAGAACGAACGCUGGCGGCAGGCCUCAAACAUGCAAGUCUAGGGGGCGUAGCAAUACGUCACCGGCGGACGGGUGCGUAACACGUGGGAAUAUACCUUUCGGUACGGAACAACUGAGGGAAACUUCAGCUAAUACCGUAUACGUCCUAACGGAGAAAGAUUUAUCGCCGAAGGAUUAGCCCGCGUUCGAUUAGCUAGUUGGUGAGGUAAUGGCUCACCAAGGCAACGAUCGAUAGCUGUUCUGAGAGGAAGAUCAGCCACACUGGGACUGAGACACGGCCCAGACUCCUACGGGAGGCAGCAGUUGGGAAUCUUGGACAAUGGGGGCAACCCUGAUCCAGCCAUGCCGCGUGAGUGAUGAAGGCCUUCGGGUUGUAAAGCUCUUUUACCCGGGAAGAUAAUGACUGUACCGGGAGAAUAAGCUCCGGCUAACUUCGUGCCAGCAGCCGCGGUAAUACGAAGGGGGCUAGCGUUGUUCGGAAUUACUGGGCGUAAAGCGCGCGCAGGCGGUUUCUCAAGUCAGUGGUGAAAGCCCGGAGCUCAACUCCGGAACUGCCAUUGAAACUGUGAAACUUGAGGACGAGAGAGGUGAGUGGAAUUCCCAGUGUAGAGGUGAAAUUCGUAGAUAUUGGGAAGAACACCGGUGGCGAAGGCGGCUCACUGGCUCGUUUCUGACGCUCAGGCGCGACAGCGUGGGGAUCAAACAGGAUUAGAUACCCUAGUAGUCC
rnacentral:rRNA from 1 species